AAUUCCACAGUGCAGAUUGCAAAAUGUUAAAAAAACUCAAUUGAAUGACGCCAUGACAGGUCACGUGAUGUAAAUUUUUGUUGGGCAUGCGCGAUAUCGCUAAAUUUUUCUUGAUUUUGAAACGGUGAGACGUUUUACGCGACGGGAAAACUCUUUGUAUUAUUUCUUGUGUUUGUGUUUUAAGUUUUACGAACGUUUACAAAAUUGUGUUUACCGUGCAGUGUCUGUGUGUGGUAGCAACAAAAACAGUUGUAAAGACAAUGUGACGAAGACCCAGUGCCUCCAGCGUAUUCUGUGAUCUUAGCUAUAGUUUGUGCGAUGACAGGCCCCCAAUGUUGGACACUUUUAUAUGACGGUACAUACUCGAAUCUGCAGCUGACACAUUGGUAAAAGAUGGCGUACUUACAACCGGCGUCGCUGGAAGCGGCGCUGCCGCUGCUGGUGCGUCCGGACUUGCGCCUCCGGCAGCAGCUGGGCGAGCAGCUGGCCGCGCUCGUGCGCCGCGAGCCCGACAUCUCGCACGACGCGGCGGCGCAGCUGCUCGACGCGCUCGUGGCCUGGCUCAACGGCGGGAACUUC